rnacentral:rRNA from 1 species
AACGAACGCUGGCGGCAUGCCUAACACAUACAAGUCGAACGAGACCUUCGGGUCUAGUGGCGCACGGGUGCGUAACGCGUGGGAACCUGCCCUUAGGUUCGGAAUAACUCCCCGAAAGGGGUGCUAAUACCGGAUAAUGUCUUCGGACCAAAGAUUUAUCGCCUUUGGAUGGGCCCGCGUUGGAUUAGCUAGUUGGUAGGGUAAAAGCCUACCAAGGCGACGAUCCAUAGCUGGUCUGAGAGGAUGAUCAGCCACGCUGGGACUGAGACACGGCCCAGACUCCUACGGGAGGCAGCAGUGGGGAAUAUUGGACAAUGGGCGAAAGCCUGAUCCAGCAAUGCCGCGUGAGUGAUGAAGGCCUUAGGGUUGUAAAGCUCUUUUACCCGGGAUGAUAAUGACAGUACCGGGAGAAUAAGCUCCGGCUAACUCCGUG